rnacentral:lncRNA from 10 species
CUUGGGCAAUUCAUAUAUUUAUUGGUAGAAUAUACAUCCAUUUUCACAGGAUAAUUGAGGUAGCAUAAUGGAUUGUUGUCUCAGGAAAAUAUUUUAUUUUACUUUUUAUUUUUUAAACACCUAAAUGAAGGCUGUGGAGUCAUAGGGAGCUAGUGACAAAGUCACCAGGGAGUGAAUAAAAGCUUGAAACAAAGGCCUGACUUGAUUGGAUUUGAAUUUCAGGAAGAUUAAUAAAGAAAAAAGGGAUUGGAGAGAGGAAUGGCAAUAGGUAGAGGAGCUAUUCUGGUACCAGUUGUUAUACUCUGGAGAGGGAUGACGGAUGCCUAAGAUAAGGCAAUAGUGAGGAGUAAGUGGAGGGGGAAAGUGGAAUAAGAAGGUAUAAAUGACAACACUAUGCUUAGAUCAGUAGUUUUCAUGUGUGUUUGUGUGUGUGUGUGUGUGUGUGUGAUGAAUUUUAGAGAGAAACUGGACAAGAAGCAAGUAAAAAUUGUAGCUUGUACAAAACGUAAACCCAAUUUUUUUUUCUAUUUUACAGCUCUGAAAAAUCAAAUCUGUCCAUGGCAGUGCUAGCAUACUGUCUAUUAGAUUAAAUGAAGCUGUAAGCAUCUUUGAAGUACAAAUGAUACUUGGAAAGUAAAUGAAACUGGGAAUACUUGCAAGUAAAAUAUGGGAAGUCAAAGAGAUUAAAGGAUGAGAACCAGAAAUUGCUUAUGGCCAGUGUCCUGAGUAAGCCUCAGAAUCGCAUCCUAGAAGCAUCAAGUUCUUGUGUUACCCUAUGGAUCUAAAAAACGACUUCCUUAGUUUGAUGUAGUCUGCAGACAUCUCAUCAUCACAAAAACUUGAAAGCACUUACAGCACUAAGAAACUACCUUUGCAGAUUGUAAAAAAAGAUAGAAUCCUACUUAGUGUUUUGAUCACACCUGCCUAUUUCCCCAAGGUUUUACUGCAGGGUUAAAGAAUGAAUAAGCAUCUAGUUAUAUUUAAUAAACUCCAUGCCUUAUGGCUGAUUCUAAAGGCACAUGGCUUUGUUACAUUCGCUUGAAGCUCUGCUUUAUUUUCUAAAAAUGGUUGCUUACAGUGGUCCCUUGCAGCCCAUGGUGAUAGUUUAUAGGGUGCUAUGUUAUUUUUGUUUACUUGAGUGGAUAUUUAUACACAUGCCUCUUUAGAUUCAGGUGUUUUCAUUUUUUUUGUCAGGAGUUUGGUAUCCAUAUGCAGAAAAAUGCUGAUGAGUCAUUGCAUUUAUCUAUUGCUUAGAGAGAUGAUGAUGGGUCAUAAACCCAGAUAUUUAAACAAACAACCAGAAUAGUUUGUUACUUUCAGGCAAGAUUCCUGAUCGUUUUGUUGUUGUUGUUGCUGUUGUUGUUUUUCCUGCAAUGAAAGAGGCAGCAGAAGGGAAUCAGAUAAAUAACCCUCUCACAUAUCGUAUUUACUUGUAAUAUUGUUAUGCCAUCAAGUAGAACAAAAAUC